rnacentral:rRNA from 1 species
AGUGGACGCUGGCGGUAGGCCUAACACAUGCAAGUCGAACGGCAGCACAGUAAGAGCUUGCUCUUACGGGUGGCGAGUGGCGGACGGGUGAGGAAUACAUCGGAAUCUACUUUUUCGUGGGGGAUAACGUAGGGAAACUUACGCUAAUACCGCAUACGACCUACGGGUGAAAGCAGGGGAUCUUCGGACCUUGCGCGAUUGAAUGAGCCGAUGUCGGAUUAGCUAGUUGGCGGGGUAAAGGCCCACCAAGGCGACGAUCCGUAGCUGGUCUGAGAGGAUGAUCAGCCACACUGGAACUGAGACACGGUCCAGACUCCUACGGGAGGCAGCAGUGGGGAAUAUUGGACAAUGGGCGCAAGCCUGAUCCAGCCAUACCGCGUGGGUGAAGAAGGCCUUCGGGUUGUAAAGCCCUUUUGUUGGGAAAGAAAAGCAGCAGGCUAAUACCCCGCUGUUCUGACGGUACCCAAAGAAUAAGCACCGGCUAACUUCGCG